UAAUACGGAGGGUGCAAGCGUUGUUCGGAAUCACUGGGCGUAAAGGGCGCGCAGGCGGUUCGGUAAGUCAGAUGUGAAAGCCCACGGCUUAACCGUGGAAGUGCAUUUGAUACUGCUAGACUUGAGUACCAGAGGGGAAAGUGGAAUUCCCGGUGUAGAGGUGAAAUUCGUAGAUAUCGGGAGGAAUACCGGUGGCGAAGGCGACUUUCUGGCUGAGUACUGACGCUGAGGCGCGAAAGCGUGGGGAGCAAGCAGGAUUAGAUACCCUGGUAGUCCACGCCGUAAACGAUGUCAACUAGAUGUAGGGGGUGUUGAUCCCUUCUGUGUCGCAGC
rnacentral:rRNA from 1 species